UACGGGGGGGGCAAGCGUUGUUCGGAAUUACUGGGCGUAAAGGGCUCGUAGGCGGCCAACUAAGUCAGACGUGAAAUCCCUCGGCUUAACCGGGGAACUGCAUCUGAUACUGGAUGGCUUGAGUUCGGGAGAGGGAUGCGGAAUUCCAGGUGUAGCGGUGAAAUGCGUAGAUAUCUGGAGGAACACCGGUGGCGAAGGCGGCGAUCUGGGUCGAUACUGACGCUGAGGUGCGAAAGCGUGGGGAGCAAACAGG
rnacentral:rRNA from 1 species